CACUGCACUCCAGCCUGGCAACAGAGCAAGACUGUGACCUCAGUAAGUAUUUAAAUAGUAGAAGACAGGAACAAAGUGGCCAUUUGGGAAUUAGUCUUUUACCAAAAGUUAUCCAGUUGUAUUUUUUAAGAGAAUUACCAGAGUAUUAUCUUCAAAUGAAAAUGCUAAGCCUCCAGAUCCUCAUAACUAUCAAUGAAUUAUAUUUUCCAUUCCUGCCUCAACAAUUUCAACUUCUUGUUUUGAGCAAACUAAGCAGCGUAGACAGAUUUAUCAAUAUCUUGUUUUAAACCCUUCAAAGAACAUUAUGAAUAAAGGAAAUUUAAAAUAUUUUUCAGCAGAGACAUCCUCAUUCUCAAAUGAGAAUAUUGGCUUAAUUUAGAGUUUCUACAUGGCUUAAAAGGAAAAGAAAAAAAAAAAGAUUUAAAUACUCGGUACCGAGUUUUCCAGUCACGAUAAAGGGCUUUGUGCUAACUUACCUCUUCUUUCUUUGCAGGGCUAACUGCACGCACCCAGCAAAAUUACUAGCUGGAGUUACUGUGCAAUGAGCAAAUGUGGAAGAAUUUCUUUCUCAUGUGAUCCCCCCACAGAGGGUGGGAUCAUGCUUUACUUAACUGAAAUACUCAAGCCCCUAUUGCUGUCGGGGGAGGUGUAGAGGGUGGGGCCAGAAGGGUUAGGGUUAGGGUUAGGGUUAGGAUACCGUGCUAUACAGUGAAAAUGUAAUUUGUUAAUAUACUAUAUUUGAGGUUUGAAAAUCACUGAUCACAGCUACUAAAUAACAGUGCACCAAAGUUUUACAAUAUUUGAACACCUGCGAAUGUAAAGCUUUCUGGCAUGACCCACAUUUGGAUACAAAUGGGAAGUUCAUUGAGUAUUAGGUUUAUCAGAAAGCUAGAGGAAACAAAUUACAUGUAUUUUUUAUAGGUAAUAACCUAGGAAAAAAGUGGAUAUUAGGUAAAAAUUAAGUGAAAUUAUUUAGAUACUUUCAGUUUCAUCUUUUCCUGGGAAAGCCCCCAAAACAGUCCUCUGGAAAACCAACUUCAUGCAUGUACAAAAUGACAUCUGCUCUCAUAUAGAUACAGCUUUCUCUCAAUGGUAGAUAAGUCACAGAUGUAUCUCAGAUAUUCAUUUUCAUGCAUAAGGAAGUUUGAGACAUCUACUCCACUGAAAUAUUGCAUAGGAAGUCUACAAACCACUUCUAGGAAAAAGGCAUUUCACUGUGAAAGUUGGAUUUAAUUACAUGAAUGUUGAGAAGACUAGGUUAGACUCAAAAUUCUGUAUUCAUUUUUGUAUUUAUGAAUCUCGAGCAGAUGCCAGUUUAGAGAAUACAGCCAAUAACAUUA